GGAUUUGCAUCAGAAUAUUUUUGUUCCUUUCAUGGAUCUUUUCCAUUUUUUUGUUUAAGUUAGGAAUAACUAAUGCACAUACCUCACAAGAGCAUGUGCUAAUUUGUGUAGUAGGUGUUCUUAUGUGUAUUAUUAUUGUGAUAGUAGUAAGAGUAGCAAACGAGGAUCCAGAGGAGGGUCUACCUAUUACUGAUCCUCGCAAGGAGUUUCAGAUUUGAUCCGUCGCUGCCGCGGGAGUGUAUAUAUAUAUAUAUAUAUAUAUAUAUAUAUAUAUAUAUAUAUAUAUAUAUAUAUAUAUAUAUAUAUAUAUAUAUAUAUAUAUAUAUAU
rnacentral:lncRNA from 1 species